AUGGAUACUAGUACUAGCAACACCAUUCCCAAGGUUACUACUGGUUCUAGAGGUACUAAAUCUGUGCAACAAUGUUGCACCCCUGUCCCUGAGAACAAUAUUGAAGAUAUUGUCUUCUCCAAAGUUCAAGGGGGGCCCAUGACCAAAAGCUAUCUGGAGGUUGUCAAAAAGAAGCCAAUUGAUAACUUGGGAGGUGCCCUACUGGAGAAAUUUGAGGCUGCUAUCACACAAGAUCACUCUCUUCCUCAGAACAUAGCUGAUAAAAACAAACAGUGGGGCCAUGUGGUUGCUACUAGGGCCAGCACUAGAAACAGGAAGGAUGAGAGGCCUACUCUGCAAAAGGCCCAGGAACUAAAAUGGAUCGAGGUGCCAAACAAAGGUGAGCUGAAUGAUAUCUGGAAAAAAGAAGAGAUAAAAGCUAGACAGAGGUCCAGGGAGAGGGAGAUCCUGGAAGGUGAUCUCAACACUGGAUACUUUAAAGCUAUGGCAAGCCAAAAAAGGAGGAAGAAAUAG
rnacentral:rRNA from 1 species